CAGGUGGGCGUGCGCACCGGUUGAAGCUGCUGGCUGGGACGGGGCAGGCGGUCGGCGCAGGCCCCUGGGCUCAGAGCGCUGUGCAUGGAUGCCUCUGUGUGUGUCCUGCGCUUAUUCACCUACUUCCUCGCCUACUCGUGCGUGUAUGCCUUCCUACACAUGCUGAUUUAUCUGUUCCACGGUCUCUUCCGGGAGGAAUAGGCCGACCCUUCCCCCGUCCAUCCCCCAUCCCAGGAGAGAGUGAAGCCCAGGCAGAGUCAGGAGCAGCGCAGCCAUUGGGCGCCCGAGGUGAUGGUUAAAGCAGCUUUCUCGAGGAUAUAAUUAAUUUCAUGACAACCAGUUGUGAUGUCAAGCAUUGAGCAGUCCUUUGAGAGAUGAGGAAACCAGAGUCACAGAGUAUCUGAAGCAGGAUUGAACAUGGGUCUUCGAUUCCGGGUCUGCCUCUUUAUCCACUGUGCCGUCUGCCUACCUCAUGGCCCCAGGACAUUGUAUUCUGGAUCUGUCUAUCUAGCAUACACAAGCUUUCUUUCAAAUCCUCCAGAAAUCUAGAUGAUUCACCAGAGGAACCCAUCUGAAAAAAACAGAUUAAAACAAAAGGCAUCAAGCAUUGACUGGGUCGUGAUAACUUCUCUGCCUCAGCCCAGAAGACACUGCUUUGGGUAAGAUGUGAGGCCUCUGUGGCAUUCUCCCAACGUGGACCUUUCUCAGUGGUUGCGGACAUCCUCGGAGGCUCCUCUGGGCAUCCGUGACUUAAAAAUGCCUCUAUUUGAUUGCUUGUCAUGGCUUUAGAUCUUGUAUUUUCAAAUGGUUGACAAUCGGUAUUUGCCUUUCUCUGACACUCUCUAAAUUUAAUGAA